AAUUUCCUUGUGUUGUGUGUAUUCAACUGACAGAGUUGAACUUUCAUUUAGAGAGAGCAGAUUUGAAACACUGUUUUUGUGGUAUUUGCAAGUGGAGAUUUCAAGCGCUUUGGGGCCAAAGGCAGAAAAGGAAAUAUCUUCGUAUAAAAACUAGACAGAAUCAUUCUCAGUAACUGCUCUGUGAUGUGUGCGUUCAACUCUCAGAGUUUAACUUUUCUUUUCAUUCAGCAGUUUGGAAACACUCUGUUUGUAAAGUCUGCACGUAGAUAUUUUGACCACUUAGAGGCCUUCUUUGGAAACGGUUUUUUCUCAUGUAAGGCUAGACAGAAGAAUUCCCAGUAACUUCCUUGUGUUGUGUGCAUUCAACUCACAGAGUUGAACGUUCCCUUAGACAGAGCAGAUUUGAAACACUCUAUUUGUGCAAUUUGCAAGUGUAGAUUUCAAGCGCUUUAAGGUCAAUGGCAGAAAAGGAAAUAUCUUCGUUUCAAAACUAGACAGAAUCAUUCCCACAAACUGCGUUGUGAUGUGUUUGUUCAACUCACAGAGUUUAACCUUUCUGUUCAUAGAGCAGUUAGGAAACGCUCUGUUUGUAAAGUCUGUAAGUGGAUAUUCUGACAUCUUGUGGCCUUCGUUGGAAACGGGAUUUCUUCAUAUUCUGCUAGACAGAAGAAUUC
rnacentral:lncRNA from 10 species